rnacentral:rRNA from 1 species
UCAAGAAACUUCCACAAUGGGCGAAAGCCUGAUGGAGCGACGUCGCGUGAUGGACGAAGUGCUUCGGCACGUAAACAUCUUUUAUGUGGGAUGAAAUUAUUGACAGUACCACAUGAAUAAGGGGCUCCUAACUCUGUGCCAGCAGGAGCGGUAAUACAGAGGCCCCAAGCGUUAUCCGGAAUCACUGGGCGUAGAGGGUGUCGAGGCGGUUGUAUUAGUCGUUCGUAAAAUCUACGAGCUUAACUUGUAGGCGGCGAACGAAACGGUACGACUUGAGGUUUGGAGAGGUGCGUGGAACUCACGGUGUAGGGGUGAAAUCCGUUGAUAUCGUGGGGAACACCAAAGGCGAAGGCAGCGCACUGGCCAAAAUCUGACGCUCACACACGAAAGCUAGGGUAGCGAAGAGGAUUAGAUACCCGGGUAGUCCCUGAGCGGGCUGGCAAGGCG